rnacentral:rRNA from 1 species
GUGCCAGCAGCCGCGGUAAUACGGGGGGUGCUAGCGUUAAUCGGAUUUAUUGGGCGUAAAGGGCGCGCAGGCGGCUCUAUAAGUCAGAUGUGAAAGCCCGGGGCUCAACCCCGGAAGUACAUUUGAUACUAUGGAACUUGAGUAUGGGAGAGGGAAGUGGAAUUCCUGGUGUAGCGGUGAAAUGCGUAGAUAUCAGGAGGAACACCGGUGGCGAAGGCGACUUCUUGGACCAAUACUGACGCUGAGGCGCGAAGGCGUGGGGAGCAAACAGGAUUAGAAACCCCGGUAGUCC